AACCAAAGCUGGCGACCGGCGCACGGGUGAGUAACACGUAUCAACCUGCCUCAUACUCGGGGAUAGCCUUUCGAAAGAAAGAUUAAUAUCCGAUAGCAUAUAUUUCCCGCAUGGGUUUUAUAUUAAAGAAAUUCGGUAUGAGAUGGGGAUGCGUUCCAUUAGUUUGUUGGGGGGGUAACGGCCCACCAAGACUACGAUGGAUAGGGGUUCUGAGAGGAAGGUCCCCCACAUUGGAACUGAGACACGGUCCAA
rnacentral:rRNA from 1 species